rnacentral:lncRNA from 1 species
CUUUUUCUCUGUGCAUCCUCAGUGACGCGGGGCACAGCUCUGCCCGGGGGCCUACCAGAGCCCACCUGGACCCCACACUGGGUCAGCCCUGGUGCGGAGGAGGCCGCUGUAGGCGCGGCCAGGUCACAGUCGGCACCAGAAGUUUGGCAGAUCUCAGUGAGGCGUUAGUUUGCAUUUCCUUGUGACGGAGUCUCACUCUGUUGCCAGGCUGGAGUACAAUGGUGCCAUCUUGACUCACUGCAACCUCUGCCUCCCGGGUUCAAGCUAUUCUCCUGCCUCAGCUUCCUGAGUAGCUGGUACUACAGGCGUGUGCCACCAUGCCCAGGUUUUGACUGGAAUGCCAGGCUUAACGUUGCUCAGAAGUUGCUUCUAUGAGGACGUCUCCCAGCAGCUGUCAGUGUUUCCAAUGAGUCAUCGCCAGCCCCUGCAAUGAGCCUCUCAGGCUGUCACUGUCCCUAAAAUGAAGCCGGGCUGCCAGAGGCGGUUGCAUCUCCCGGCACCAAGACCCCAGAGUCCCUGUGAGAAAGAGGACCAACGACGAUGGAAGCCUUUCUCUAAUGUGCGCACAGCCAGGCCGCUCCUCUGAAGGCGCUGAGCCGCCUCUAAUCACAGCGCCACACUGGCCACAGGUCGCUGGGUAUAGGAUGAACCCAGCUGUGAAUAGGAUGCAUUUCCUGGGAGGUUUCUGUGAAGUUACUGAACUGCCAAAAGCUGAGGUGCCUGUCAGCAGUCAAGUGAUUGAGAGCACAAACUGUCCCAAAGACACAGCCCCCUUCCCCCUGGAGACGCGCACAGCCUGCAGAAGAGAUGUCACCUGAUGCAGCGUUGUGGUUUAAAAACUCAUUAUGGGAAGCAUGAGGCUGGACCCAGGGGACCCUGGAGGUGAUGCAGGGGCUUUGGCAGCCUGGAAGCUGUUGGAGGAGGGGCCCUUGGUGGAAGUGGGGACAGUUUGAGCCUCCGGCCUCCAAUUCCCUCCCGCUGGCUUCUGGGCCGCACCUCCAGGAAUCCAGCUAGACCCGCAGGGCUCUGACUCCAGACUUUAUUAAAUGUUUCCUCUAACGGUUCUGGCCAUUCUGCUGGGCCAUUAAAGGCUACCCCAGGGCCUCAGAUAUGA